rnacentral:miRNA from 1 species
UGGGCUCCUAAAGGAGGGAGUACAAUGCUGUGGAAGCAGCACUGGACUUGGAGUCAGAAGACCUG